GGGGUCGUAGCUCAGUUGGUAGAGCACCUGCUUUGCAAGCAGGACGUCACCGGUUCGAGUCCGGUCGGCUCCACCA
rnacentral:tRNA from 5 species